rnacentral:rRNA from 1 species
UACGUAGGGUGCGAGCGUUGUCCGGAUUUAUUGGGCGUAAAGAGCUCGUAGGCGGCUCGUUGCGUCGGCUGUGAAAACCCGCAGCUCAACUGUGGGCUUGCAGCUGAUACGGGCGGGCUGGGAUUCGGUAGGGGAGACUGGAAUUCCUGGUGUAGCGGUGAAAUGCGCAGAUAUCAGGAGGAACACCGGUGGCGAAGGCGGGUCUCUGGGCCGAUACUGACGCUGAGGAGCGAAAGCGUGGGGAGCGAACAGG